UAGAGGGUAGCAAUAUUCUCUAGUUGGAGUGGCGCAAGGGUGCGUAACACGUGGACAAUCUGCCGUGAAGACUGGGAUAACUCGCUGAAAGGCGAGCUAAUACCGGAUGAGACUUUUGGGAGGCAUCUCCUGGAAUUGGAAGCUGGGGACCCGCAAGGGCCUGGCGCUUCACGAUGAGCCCGCGGCCUAUCAGCUAGUUGGUGAGGUAAUGGCCCACCAAGGCUAAGACGGGUAGCUGGUCUGAGAGGACGACCAGCCACACUGGAACUGAGACACGGUCCAGACACCUACGGGUGGCAGCAGUCGAGAAUUUUUCACAAUGGGCGCAAGCCUGAUGGAGCGACGCCGCGUGGGGGAUGAAGGGUUUCGAUCCGUAAACCCCUGUCAUUUGCGAACAAACCUUAUGGAAUAACACUCCAUGAGCUGAUUGUAGUGAAAGAGGAAGGGACGGGUAACUCUGUGCCAGCAGCCGCGGUAAUACAGAGGUCCCAAGCGUUGUUCGGAUUCACUGGGCGUAAAGGGUGCGUAGGUGGCCGUGGAAGUUUGAUGUGAAAGCUCGGAGCUCA
rnacentral:rRNA from 1 species